rnacentral:rRNA from 1 species
GACGAACGCUGGCGGCGUGCCUAAUACAUGCAAGUAGAACGCUGAAGCUUGGUGCUUGCACCGAGCGGAUGAGUUGCGAACGGGUGAGUAACGCGUAGGUAACCUGCCUGGUAGCGGGGGAUAACUAUUGGAAACGAUAGCUAAUACCGCAUAAAAUGGAUUAUCGCAUGAUAAUCCAUUGAAAGGUGCAAAUGCAUCACUACCAGAUGGACCUGCGUUGUAUUAGCUAGUUGGUGGGGUAACGGCUCACCAAGGCGACGAUACAUAGCCGACCUGAGAGGGUGAUCGGCCACACUGGGACUGAGACACGGCCCAGACUCCUACGGGAGGCAGCAGUAGGGAAUCUUCGGCAAUGGACGGAAGUCUGACCGAGCAACGCCGCGUGAGUGAAGAAGGUUUUCGGAUCGUAAAGCUCUGUUGUAAGAGAAGAACGAGU